rnacentral:rRNA from 1 species
UUAUUUGAAACAGGAUACAACCUCACACACCGGGUAAACAUAAAGGAUAGCAAAACCAAGUGGGCCUAAAAGCAGCCACCUUUAAGAAAGCGUUACAGCUCCACCACACUCAACCCAAAAUCAUUUCAACACCCAUUAACCCUUAACCCCUACUGAACCAUUUUAUAUUAUUAUAAAAACUAUUAUGCUAGGACUAGUAACAAGAAUUUGCUUUUCUCCUUAAUAUAAGCAUAAACCAAAACGGACUAUCCAUUGGCAAUUAACGUUAGUGAACUAAUUAUAGUAACAACCCUACUAGAAAACUCUAUAUUUAAUAACGUUAACCUCACACCAGAAUAUUAAAGGAAAGAUUAAAAGAAAAAGAAGGAACUCGGCAAAUUUCAACCCCGCCUGUUUACCAAAAACAUCGCCUCUUGAUAAACAUAAGAGGUCCAGCCUGCCCAGUGACAAUGUUCAACGGCCGCGGUACCCUAACCGUGCAAAGGUAGCAUAAUCACUUGUUCUUUAAAUGAGGACUUGUAUCAAUGGCAUCACGAGGGUUGUACUGUCUCCUUUUUCUAAUCAGUGAAACUGAUCUCCCCGUGAAGAAGCUGGGAUUUAAAU